UACGUAGGGCGCAAGCGUUAUCCGGAAUUAUUGGGCGUAAAGAGCUCGUAGGCGGUUUGUCGCGUCUGCCGUGAAAGUCCGGGGCUCAACUCCGGAUCUGCGGUGGGUACGGGCAGACUAGAGUGAUGUAGGGGAGACUGGAAUUCUCGGUGUAGCAGUGAAAUGCGUAGAUAUCGAGAGGAACACCAGUGGCGAAGGCGAGUCUCUGGACAUUUCCUGACGCUGAGGCACGAAAGCCAGGGGAGCAAACGGG
rnacentral:rRNA from 1 species